ensembl:lncRNA
AGGCCAUUCUGGAAAGCAGCAUCUUCACCUGGAAAAGAGCACAUGCUGGCUGAGGAAGCCCUCCAUCUGCUGCUGGCUCCUGCUCCUGCUGCCUGAGGGGACGGCUGCUGGCUGCUGCCUUGUGUUUGUACAAGGGAAGGCUUGCAGGCUGCUUUGAGGCUCGGAGAGCCACUCGAACCAGACUGUGCAUGGAAGAAUGGAUGCCCAACGGUUGGAUUUGCCAACUCCAGAAGGAAGUGCCAGUUUCCAGGGAGGAAAUAAUUAUCUGAACACAUCCUCCUCAGAUCUGCCUCCCACUCCAGCAGCAGAGAGCAUCUGAAAGGAGCUGCCGGAGCAGCUGUUGUUCCAAGUGCAGCAUUCUCCAGUGGGUUUUCCUCCUGGAGCGAUCCUGAGCCCACGCUCAGAGUUAGGGCUGGAGGAAAGGUGCAUGAAUUGCCUGACUUGCACGGUGCUCUCGGCUGGCUCAGUGGAAGUGAUUCACUUGCUCGUGAGUGCGAAGUGUUCGUCGUCCCUCCUACCCACAGCAUGAUGUGGCUUCUACCCUUCCCCCUCUGUGCUCUUAUCUUCCGCUGCUUGGAGAGGCGGAGUGCUCAGCGGCUGUGAGGUUUGUGUGUCUGGAGGGGGUGGCAACUCGCCAGCCCACGGCAUGCUUCUUGUGCUGUGAAAUUGGAGCGGGUGAAUGCCAGCUACUUCAGUGGAAAAUGGGAGCAGUUCCUCUGCUGCCAAUGAGGGCUGCUGCCUGAAGGUACCACCGGGCUCCAAAGAGUGGAAGACUUUGCUUCUGGCUAUGUAUAACACACCUAUUCCUUUGACACACGUGAAUUGGUGUAUAUUACUGGGAAUUCCAGGAUGCUUAGCUGGGAAUGAACUCCUCUCUGUUUCACAACGUGACUCUGUGGUGUUUGUACUAGUUUAGAUUUGUUAAUUUUGUUUUGUCUGUUUGUUAUUUUCCACUGCUUCAGGCUGGGGAAUAGCAGCUGGCCGAGGCUUUGUACUGUCCAUGCCUUACCCUGGUUUUUAAGUUGUCUAAGUCUGAAUGAGCUGGGACUUAAGGGGCCUCAUAUGAAACCUCCAGGUGGCAGAUCUGAACCUAAGCAGGCCUCCUUCCACGUGCACUGCAGAGCAGUCGGAUGAAUCCGAGGAAGAAAUGUCCAUUGAGGACUAUUAAACACAAAAGCUUUCAUUACCGGGCCGCAGCCUGGGCACACGGCUAACGUGUUCCAUCCAGCAGGGCUUUGGGGACUGCUCCGAUCAGCUCAUCUGACUCCAUCAGCUGUCCAUCAGACGGCUGGGAAGUGCUCCCAGGGCUAACCUACACACGGUGUCAGCAACCCACCGCCUCUGCUCCCGUUGCUGCCUGCAUAAAGGUCACAGAUAACGAUUAAAAAUAAAUAAAUAAGCCAGGAGAACCCCCCAGCCUACCUCUGGGGUCACUCAGGUUUGAAAUAAAUCUCUCAUCUUU